GAUGAACGCUGGCGGCGUGCCUAAUACAUGCAAGUCGAGCGAACAGACGAGGAGCUUGCUCCUCUGACGUUAGCGGCGGACGGGUGAGUAACACGUGGAUAACCUACCUAUAAGACUGGGAUAACUUCGGGAAACCGGAGCUAAUACCGGAUAAUAUAUUGAACCGCAUGGUUCAAUAGUGAAAGACGGUUUUGCUGUCACUUAUAGAUGGAUCCGCGCCGCAUUAGCUAGUUGGUAAGGUAACGGCUUACCAAGGCAACGAUGCGUAGCCGACCUGAGAGGGUGAUCGGCCACACUGGAACUGAGACACGGUCCAGACUCCUACGGGAGGCAGCAGUAGGGAAUCUUCCGCAAUGGGCGAAAGCUUGACGGAGCAACGCCGCGUGAGCGAUGAAGGUCUUCGGAUCGUAAAACUCUGUUAUUAGGGAAGAACAAAUGUGUAAGUAACUAUGCACGUCUUGACGGUACCGAAGCAGAAAGCCACGGCUAACUACGU
rnacentral:rRNA from 1 species